UGGGGUGAGGGUGGGAAACAUUUGGGGGAGGAAUGUAUCCGUGGGCGAGGGAGAUUUUUGAGGGUUGAGCAUGCGCAGGUAACAAAGAUUUGGAGGCUAAGCACACAUGCGCGAGAAAGAUUGCAUGGCAGCGGUGGGAAAUUGGGGAGCCGUAGCAUUUUUGCCUAGAGAGAGAGAGAGAGAAAGCAACGGCAACUUCGGACUCGGGAGGAAGGGUUGCGGUGGCUUAGGGUUUUGGAGAGGUUAGGGUUUGUUUUGUUAGGCCCGGUGUAAUUUUGGCAUGGGAGUAGGCCAUGUAAG
rnacentral:lncRNA from 1 species